AAACUCAAAUGAAUUGACGGGGCCCGCACAAGCGGUGGAGCAUGUGGUUUAAUUCGAAGCAACGCGAAGAACCUUACCAGGUCUUGACAUCCCCUGACAACCGAGAGAUCGGGCGUUCCCCGUUCGGGGGACAGGGUGACAGGUGGUGCAUGGUUGUCGUCAGCUCGUGUCGUGAGAUGUUGGGUUAAGUCCCGCAACGAGCGCAACCCUUGCCAUUAGUUGCUACGAAAGGGCACUCUAAUGGGACUGCCGGUGACAAACCGGAGGAAGGUGGGGAUGACGUCAAGUCCUCAUGGCCCUUAUAGGUGGGGCUACACACGUCAUACAAUGGCCGGUACAGAGGGUAGCCAACCCGCGAGGGGGAGCCAAUCCCACAAAGCCGGUCGUAGUCCGGAUCGCAGUCUGCAACUCGACUGCGUGAAGUCGGAAUCGCUAGUAAUCGCGGAUCAGCAUGUCGCGGUGAAUACGUUCCCGGGUCUU
rnacentral:rRNA from 1 species